rnacentral:rRNA from 1 species
GUACUGUAUUGGACUACCGUGGCAGUGACGGGUAACGGGGAAUUAGGGUUCGAUUCCGGAGAGGGAGCCUGAGAAACGGCUACCACAUCUAAGGAAGGCAGCAGGCGCGCAAAUUACCCAAUCCUGACUCAGGGAGGUAGUGACAAGAAAUAACAACGCUGGAAAUUUCAUUUCUAGUGAUUGGAAUGAUGGGAAUCCAAACCCCUUUCAGAGUAACAAUUGGAGGGCAAGUCUGGUGCCAGCAGCCGCGGUAAUUCCAGCUCCAAUAGCGUAUAUUAAAGUUGUUGCAGUUAAAAAGCUCGUAGUUGGAUUUCUGCUGGGAGCAGCCGGUCCGCCCUUCAUUGGGUGUGCACUUGGUGAAUUCUGGCAUCCUCCUGGUGGUAUAGUGUGUGUGUCGUUUUAUUGCGUCCAUGCGCUUUAUUGUCAGGACUGUUACUUUGAGAAAAUUAGAGUGUUUCAAGCAGGCUUAUUGCCUUGAAUACUGCAGCAUGGAAUAACAAGAUAGGAUUUCGGUUCUAUUUUGUUGGUUUCUAGGACUGAAGUAAUGAUUAAUAGGGACAGUUGGGGGCAUUCGUAUUUAACU